GGGGGGGGGGGGGGGGGGGGGGGGGGGGGGGGGGGCGAGGGGGGGGGGCGGGGGGGGGGGCGCGGGGGGGGGUCAGGCGUGGGGCGCUGCGCUUAGGGUCGGAGUAACUGCCCGACAGGGGUGGUAAUAGCGGCUAAUGUCUUCGGGCCAAAGAUUUAUCGCCUUUGGAUGGGCCCGCGUUGGAUUAGCUAGUUGGUAGGGUAAAAGCCUACCAAGGCGACGAUCCAUAGCUGGUCUGAGAGGAUGAUCAGCCACACUGGGACUGAGACACGGCCCAGACUCCUACGGGAGGCAGCAGUGGGGAAUAUUGGACAAUAGGCGAAAGCCUGAUCCAGCAAUGCCGCGUGAGUGAUGAAGGCCUUAGGGUUGUAAAGCUCUUUUACCCGGGAUGAUAAUGACAGUACCGGGAGAAUAAGCUCCGGCUAACUCCGUG
rnacentral:rRNA from 1 species